rnacentral:rRNA from 1 species
CGCCGCUGCUAAAGCGGAGGAAGGAGCGGGCUACGGUAGGUCAGUAUGCCCCGAAUCUUCCGGGCUACACGCGGGCUACAAUGGUUGGGACAAUGGGUUCCUACACCGAAAGGUGAUGGUAAUCUCCUAAACCCAGCCUUAGUUCGGAUUGAGGGCUGCAACUCGCCCUCAUGAAGCCGGAAUCCGUAGUAAUCGCGUAUCAAUAUCACGCGGUGAAUACGUCCCUGCCCCUUGCACAAAAUGUAAACUGUCCCUGCUCC